GGAGUCUGGACCGUGUCUCAGUUCCAGUGUGGGGGACCUUCCUCUCAGAACCCCUAUCCAUCGAAGGCCAGGUGGGCCGUUCGCCCCGCCUGCGGCCUAAUCGGACGCAUCCCCAUCCACCAGCGGCGUGAACCUUUCUUCCUACUUAGAUGUCCGCGUAGGAAAACAUAGGGUAUUAAUC
rnacentral:rRNA from 1 species